rnacentral:rRNA from 1 species
GACGAACGCUGGCGGCGUGCCUAAUACAUGCAAGUCGAACGCUUCUUUCCUCCCGAGUGCUUGCACUCAAUUGGAAAGAGGAGUGGCGGACGGGUGAGUAACACGUGGGUAACCUACCCAUCAGAGGGGGAUAACACUUGGAAACAGGUGCUAAUACCGCAUAACAGUUUAUGCCGCAUGGCAUAAGAGUGAAAGGCGCUUUCGGGUGUCGCUGAUGGAUGGACCCGCGGUGCAUUAGCUAGUUGGUGAGGUAACGGCCCACCAAGGCCACGAUGCAUAGCCGACCUGAGAGGGUGAUCGGCCACACUGGGACUGAGACACGGCCCAGACUCCUACGGGAGGCAGCAGUAGGGAAUCUUCGGCAAUGGACGAAAGUCUGACCGAGCAACGCCACGUGAGUGAAGAAGGUUUUCGGAUCGUAAAACUCUGUUGUUAGAGAAGAACAAGGACGUUAGUAACUGAACGUCCCCUGACGGUAUCUAACCAGAAAGACACGGCUAACUACGUG